UACGUAGGGGGCAAGCGUUGUCCGGAUUUAUUGGGCGUAAAGCGCGCGUAGGCGGCAAGGUGUGUCGUGCGUGAAAUCUCCCGGCUUAACUGGGAGGGGCCGUGCGAAACUGCCUGGCUUGAGGUCGGAAGGGGAAAGUGGAAUUCCGGGUGUAGUGGUGGAAUACGUAGAUAUCCUGAGGAACACCAGCGGCGAAGGCGGCUUUCUGGUCCGAUACUGACGCUGAGGUGCGAAAGCGUGGGGAGCGAUCCGG
rnacentral:rRNA from 1 species